AUGGUGGUGUUUUUUUUUGGUUCUGUUAUUGUCUAUGAGGUUAAUACAUGCCUCACAUGAAGUUGAAACAGCACAGAUCAGACUAUUUUAAGGACACUCAUAACUCCAAUACCUUAGACAUGUUUCAACAACAAAGUGGAGUCUAAGAUCUGUGCAGAAAUCUGCAGGUUCAGGACACCUGCAAGUGUCUUGUACACUUUAUUCUGUCAAUCCCUCCUCAUUAGCAUGACUCUUCUGUCAGAGAAUAUUCCUGCAUUCUGGGGAUGUAGGGACAACAGAACAGGCCCUUGACCUGAGGUUGCUAACUGUUACCACAUCAUCUACAUAUAACAACAGUACCUUUAGAUCACUUUUUCCAAGAAGAAUUACAGUACAGAGGGACACUGAAAUGGAAAACUUGACAGCAUAGGGGAAGUAACUUCAAGAACUGCCCAUGCCCAGAGAAAGUGAGAGGCUGAGAUAUACAAGAAAUGGCAUGAGGGCACCUGCCCUGGAAUACAGAUCAGUAAGACAUGCUCACCCAACCUGAACAGACUCAGAGUACUUUCCAGUGCCUGUUAAGGCCCAAGUGCUGUGAUGCAUAGUCAAAACAAAAAACAACACAGGGACAUCAACAGUGCCAGCAAGAAAAUUUAACACAGAGACAGCAAAACUCAUGAUGACUUGUUACUGAGAGGAACAGCUUUCAAAAGAGGGUUGGCACAGACUCUGCCAAACAUCCCAGAGAGAAGUUUGACACAAGAGAGAGAGGAACAAAGUUAAGCCUCGCUACUGCCUGUGGAACAGCACUUUCUACUUUGAUCUAGAUGAGAUGCUCAGGGCCAUGUUCUGAUGCAAAUUCCUACAGUAGGAGCUAACUACAGCCUCCAGUCAGCUGCCACAGCCCUCCAGCCUGGCAUCUCUGCUGACUAGGCCCAAGGACUGCAGGCAAAUUGGUAUGUUGCUCUCAGACUACGAAAAGAAUAAGUUAUUACGUCAAAUUUUUAGGAGUCUGAGAGGUUUAGCACCUUACACACAGCACUGUGCCACUCAUAUCAGUGUUUCAGUGAGACAGCACAAGGAGAGGCAGCCAUUUUAAUCUCUCCACAUGUACCUCAUAACAAGCACUGGGAUCACUUUUGAGACAAGAUGGCCGCCACAUCCUCCUCAGAGCUUUCCACAACGAGAUGAAGUGCUCUGAUUUACAGAAACUGCUUUAUAGAAAAUUUUGACACAGCCUCUCCCUGGAGAUGAGGAUAAUUUAAGAUUCUGCAUCUGAAGCUAAUUAAACAUAAGAAACAGCAGGUGAGACCUCCAUGGAUGCUGGUGGAGAAGAGAGUGCAGCAGUCAGGUUGUAUGGAAAAUGGUCUCUGACAGCUCAGCCAUUCAAGGAGUUUGGUUAUAGCUCAUCCUGAUAAUCCUGAAAGCUUUAUGCCACUAAAUUAAUGGCUAAACCUCAGUUUCUACAACAUGUAAAAAUAAAUCAGGAGAAACGUUGGCAUCCGAACAAGCUUUUCUGUCUUAUUAUUUCCAGUAAGUGGGACUGUGGAACAAAGGUA